CGGCGGGCGCCGGCGAAUUUCCUCAGGGAGCGCGGUGAGGAGCUAGCGGUUGGGGUCGGGUCUCCGGGCACGUACUCUCCCCCGGUGAGGGUGAACUAACGGAGGUGGGCGGGCCGGCGCGCCGGCUUAGCAGGCGUUUAUCCUGUACGGCCGCAGCAGUCAGCGCCCCUCACCAGCACGAGCCCCACCUGCAGAGCCCUCGGCGGCGUCCAACAGGAGGCCUCCCGCGGAAGUGUCACUCCGCCAAACAAGAGAGAUAAACAAGCAAAAGUCUAGAAACAAGCCAGCUGUCCAUCUACAGUGGAAAGCGUAAACAAAUUGUGAUGUGUUCAUGUACUGGAAUUUUACCCUGACGUGAAAAAUCCACAAACCACAGCUGCAAGCAACAAUAUGGGUGUGUUGGGGGCCUCAGUGUCCUUGUGCCUCAGCUGCCGGGGCUCAGUCUGUCCAGGAGGGAUUUGGAAAGGACCUAGAGACGGUGCCUUGGAUCCCUACGGCUGCCUGUGUUUGCUGUCGUGAUUUGAAGGCUGUCACACAAAAAGCCAUCGUUCUCUAGCACACACACCCAAGAGGUCUGACUUGGCAUUGAAAGUGGUCUGUGAUUUUCUGCUUUGCCUGGAGCGUCGCCUCCAUUACUCGUUUUAUUCCAAUAACGGUAGCAUUGCUGCCAUCUGAAAAGAGAAUGCACUCUGCUAAACUCGCAACCAAGAAGCAGAGACAUAGCAACAAACGAGAGAAUGGAAAAGGAGACAAGAGCUGCUAACAGAAAACAGGGACCAGAAGGGCAGCCCUGAAGAUGAGGGUCCUGGCUCCUGAGACCCUGGGGAGGAACAGGGGCAGGGAGGUGACAAGCCCCUGCCCUCCCCUGGGAGCUGGGGACUGGGGUGCUCUCUCUGCAUGUGACCUCCCUACUCACCUCCUCAGAUUACGGAUUGGCCAUUUAGGGGUGUUCUUCCUUGAAGAGGCAACGUAGGAGGGGAUCCUAGUGAGGCUGGCGUGGUCUCAACCCCUCCAUUUCUGGUCACCCCACUUCUGCCGAUGUCUGGGCUUCCAUGUAUCCCCUGACGUGACAGUUUAGGGGGUCCCUGCAGCGUGAGCUAUUUCCCCCCAGUAGGACCCACAUGCCCCCGACCCCCACCCCCAGGCCUUUAUCUGGGUCUCUCUGGGCCACCUGUUUCUAUAUCCUGCCUCUCCCUCAGCGAUCCUGGCCUCUGCUGAGUCACGGAGAGUCACUGCUACCCGCAGUCCUGGUGUCCCAGUGUGGAGGAGAGAAACUUGACCCAGAGAAGGAGGGAGGCCUUGAGUCAUUCUCGAAAGUUUCACCAUCCUGGGUGGUCGCAUCCAAUGGCUCUUGUCGGCUCAGGUCCACACUCUGGCUGCCACAGGCAGGAAGAGGGAACGCCUGCACCUCUCACCUCCCGAGCGGGAGAUAGGCCUGGCCUUGCCCCCUUCUUGGGAUCAGGCAGCCGCAGGAACAGUGCAGCACUACAGAUGCCCUCUGACAGCCGCCUGGGUCCCUCUCACCCACGUGCUCUAGGACUUCUGCUGAAGUUGAGUUUCUGUGCCGAUCAAGCUCUCAGGGCAAGAGCCUAAACCGUGAGCAAUUUACCGUGUUAGUGAAGGUGGCCCUGGGAGGCCUUGCCCAGGAAGAGAUGGUCCUGCAGGAGUGGGCCCUUCGUGUGGGGAGGCUACCAGGGAAUGAGCUUAAGGAAUUGGAGGAAGACACUGUUGGGUUUCAUGUGCCUCCCUGGAUGGUCCUGGAGAUUUUGAAAACCGGCCGGGGUCUCAGGGAGCCUGGGCCCCUGGCUGCCUCCCUGGACCGUCCUGGGUGAAAUCUGCAAGCGACAGAUAAAGUUCUAGGGCCCACCGUGCACCCAACCCUCUACCAGUAGCGGGUUUUUGUGUUUUUUUUUCUGGUUUUUGCUUUAAAGCACAUUGUCCUACUAUAUGUGACUCUUUUUGUCUCUACUUGCACCUAGAGGUAACGCCACAAGUAAAACACUAAAAUGGGAGCACUUCGGGGAAAAAAAAAUAGAAUCCAGAACGUUCUGAGCCACUUAAACUCCUCUGGAAAAGUGGAAAAAACAGUCAUGGAAGUGUCAAUACUUUGUAUUUAGACAACGUCUUUAAAUGUCAAGUUUGUAUGUGAUUGUGAGAUGUAUAUAAACGGAGGCAUUAUUAUCAUUCUAUCAUAAUUUACUACUUGACCAAAAUAAACUAAUAAGAUAAAUAAAUACAUCUGCUCAUCCCCAACUGACUAAUAUGAC